rnacentral:lncRNA from 1 species
UCAGCUCACAGUUCUACCCUAUAGCUAUGUUUGUGCCACUACCACCUCCUGCCUCAAAGAAACUCUUGCCAGGGUGAUUUACCAAGGAUAAAGAUGUCUAAUUUAAGUUGGACCAACCCAAUUCUCUUUCUUGGAAAUUUGAAACUAGAAGAGAGCCACAUGGAGAAUGAAGGUCUUAUUUCAACUGUUGUUCAGGAAUGAUCCAAACAAAUUCAGAAGCAGAUUUAAAUGUUAUAGAAAGGUUUGUGUCAGGCCUCUGAGCCCA